UACGUAGGGUGCAAGCGUUGUCCGGAAUUAUUGGGCGUAAAGAGCUCGUAGGCGGUCUGUCGCGUCUGCUGUGAAAACUCAGGGCUUAACCCUCGAGCUUGCAGUGGGUACGGGCAGACUAGAGUGCGGUAGGGGAGACUGGAAUUCCUGGUGUAGCGGUGAAAUGCGCAGAUAUCAGGAGGAACACCGGUGGCGAAGGCGGGUCUCUGGGCCGUAACUGACGCUGGAGGAGCGAAAGCAUGGGGAGCGAACAGG
rnacentral:rRNA from 1 species